rnacentral:lncRNA from 1 species
AUGUGGUCCUUCUGCCCUUCCUGGGUCCCUCAAACCAACAGCUUCUUAAAUAACGCUGUCUUGAGACUGUUAUUGUCACUAGAGAUCCAAAGCAUAUUUAAACUAUUGCCAUUUCCAGAGUCCUCUUUGUUGUAUCAAACCUUUCUCAUUUCUCACUUUAUAUUUUCUCAAGGAGAUUGGCUUCAAAGUGUUUUCCGUGUUCUUUAUCUAUCUUUGGAUUUUCAUGCUUGCAUUACCUUGGGCAGGACGAUGCCUCCAGUAGGACUCCUUAACCUUCCACUUCACAAGGGUAAUUCCCACAGAUCUUCCAGAUUUAAUAGAGUCAUGAAGUUAAAUUGCAAGCUUGGGCACAACAAUUAUAAAGGGAAGAGUCUGCUGAAGGUGCUUCGUUUCCUACAAAGAAGAAAACUCAUUUGGGGAAGGUAAGAAAAAAUUAAAGCUUGGGAAGGCCUUCAGGUAAAAAAGGUAUACCUGCACAAGUGUCAUGGAAAGGUUCAGUAGUUUGAUA